GUACUGAUGAAGAGUCCUAAGCUAGGACGAAACAGCUGUCCAGUAC
rnacentral:hammerhead_ribozyme from 1 species